rnacentral:rRNA from 3 species
AAACUGAAGAGUUUGAUCCUGGCUCAGAUUGAACGCUGGCGGCAUGCCUUACACAUGCAAGUCGAACGGCAGCACGGAGCUUGCUCUGGUG